ACCGGGGCUAAUACCGCAUAAGCCUGCGAAGGGAAAGCGAGCAAUCGCGCUGAAAGAGGAGUCCGCGGCCGAUUAGCUAGUUGGUGAGGUAACGGCUCACCAAGGCGGUGAUCGGUAGCCGGCCUGAGAGGGCACACGGCCACACUGGCACUGAAACACGGGCCAGACUCCUACGGGAGGCAGCAGUGGGGAAUCUUGCACAAUGGAGGCAACUCUGAUGCAGCGACGCCGCGUGAGCGAUGAAGCCCUUCGGGGUGUAAAGCUCUUUCGGCAGGGACGAUAAUGACGGUACCUGAAGAAGAAGCUGCGGCUAACUACGUGCCAGCAGCCGCGGUAAUACGUAGGCAGCGAGCGUUGUUCGGAAUUACUGGGCGUAAAGAGUGUGUAGGCGGUGCUCUAAGUUCGGUGUGAAAUCUCCUGGCUUAACUGGGAGGGUGCGCCGGAAACUGGAG
rnacentral:rRNA from 1 species